rnacentral:rRNA from 1 species
GACGAACGCUGGCGGCGUGCUUAACACAUGCAAGUCGAGCGGAGCGGCGAACGGGUGAGUAACGCGUGAGUAACUGCCCCCCUCUCUGGGAUAACAGUUGGAAACGGCUGCUAAUACCGGAUAGUGGGGGAUGAUGAGCGUCCUAUCAGCUUGUUGGUGGGGUAGUGGCCUACCAAGGCGACGACGGGUAGCCGGCCUGAGAGGGCGACCGGCCACAUUGGGCCGGGUGAGUGGCCAAACUGCAACGUGAGGCAGGGGUGGAGAGUAUUGGACAAUGGGGGGAACCCUGAUGCAGGAACGCCGCGUGCGGAAUGACGGCCUUCGGGUUGUAAACCGCUUUCAGCCAUGACGCGGUAGUGGCAGAAGAAGCACCGGCUAACUACGUGCCAGCCGCCGCGGUAAUUC